rnacentral:rRNA from 1 species
UACGGAGGGUGCAAGCGUUAUCCGGAUUCACUGGGUUUAAAGGGUGCGUAGGCGGACAGGUAAGUCCGUGGUGAAAUCCUGCAGCUUAACUGCAGAACUGCCAUGGAUACUAUCUAUCUUGAAUGUCGUGGAGGUUAGCGGAAUAUGUCAUGUAGCGGUGAAAAUGCUUAGAUAUGACAUAGAACACCCAUUGCGAAGGCAGCUAACUACGCGAUAAUUGACGCUGAUGCACGAAAAGCGUGGGGGAUCAAACAGG